GUUGUUUUGAAGACGCAGUUGUCAUUUAGUUAUCUUAAACAUGCUGAAAAUGUCAGUAUGGCAUACAUUUCAGGCGAAAGACGGUCACAUUCAUUUAAAAGGUAUUUUGAAAGCAGACGUGACGAUAAAACAAUUUCAGGUUUGGGGAACGAGUAGAUUAUCACAAAGUUCAUUUCUUGACGACCUCAUAAUUUCACGAUUGUACACAUCGAUUUUAAAUUAGUUUCUGCAUUACACAUGCAAUGGCAGUACCUUUCCAAUUACUAUUUAUGUGUUGCGUCUAAAUUGAAGUUGUAACACUUUAUAGUAACUGAAAAGGGUAGAAAACUUCAUCAGAUGAGAAAAUGCUGAAGACACCUGGAAACAGCACCAGAUCAUUUUGUAUUGCAUCUAAUAAAAAGAAACAAACUGAGAUUUGGAUAGUUCCACUUCAAGGUAAAAAUAUUUAUCUCUUUUG
rnacentral:lncRNA from 1 species